UGGUUGUGGAGGGUGUCGCGAUGGGCGGGGCGGGGCGUCUGUGGUCCUCCUGGAGCCUUGGGUCCACCGCAGUUUUGCAGAACACUGAUAUCUAUGGACUCUAAAAUGGACUUCAUUUAAAGAAACCCACGGACCAUUAAUGGACAAAAACAUGAAUCAAUUUGUACUGUGGCAUUCAAAUCCUAGCACUUUGGGAGAGCAUCGAGUACCAAGAGACUAUGACCUACCAUCAUUACACAUUCAAGAUCUGAGUUUGAAUAACCUCAUCAAGACUUAGAGCCUCUUCAAAAGCUUCAAGUCACAUCUGCCUUAAAGCUCUCCAUUGAAUCCUCUCACAAAAAUAAAAGCUUAAAGGGACUAAAAUUCAUUAAUAUAUUCCAUUUUAUAUCUAUUCCUCUGACUUCUUUACAAUUUUCUUGGCCUUUAGGGUCUUUCAUAUUGCAAAUGAUCCUUUACACUAGAGCCAAGAAACAGUGUGGUCCAAAAAAUAUAUGUUCUGUGGCCAUAAGUUUUCAUUGGUAGAGAAGCAUAAAUUUGGCAUGGUAAGUUUAGAAUUAGGUCCUUUGUUGUAUCCUGUAAAAAGUUGAAUCAACAAUAAGAAAAUAAGAAUGAAGUGUUAAAAAUAUUUGAGGUUAGAUUAUACUCUCAGAAGGUAUGUGGUUUAGAGAAAAGAGCCUUCAUCCUAAAAGUGGAUGGUUCUUACUCUAUCGCUGCCUCUUACUAAGUAUGUGAUAACUGGGAGUCACUUAACCUCUCUGAACCUUUACUACAUUAUCUGUAAAGUGAAUUGACAGUAUUUUCCCCACCUACCUCACAGGGUUGUUGUGAGGAUCAAAUGAAAUAAUGUACAUAAAAGACUUUUACGUAAAAUGUGCAAUAUAGGCUUAAGGUUCUGUUUUGUAGGGAAAACUUAUAUAGUUGCAAGCCAUUGCCUUAGCUCUUAGGCCUGGGAAGGUAGGCGAUUCAGGCACACUGAAAGCAUGUACCAUGUCCAGGCUGGAUCCAUGGUAACAGGGUUAUGUUAACAUUUUUUUUCUUUGAAUACACAGAAUACUACCAUGGGCUAAUUCUGGAGCAAGACUUUACAUUUCCCUAAAACUAUAAAUUAGCAUUGAUAACACUCUAGAAUAGUUUAUGGGUUGUAACACAAUAGUGGUUUGAAAGAUAAAUUAUGACCAGCAUUUUUUUUAAAUGAAAGAACAUAGAGCAGAAUACUUAGUAAUGCAUCCCACAAGGUAAGAGUAAGAAUUGUUUAAGUUAUAUAUAUGUGUAAAUGUGUGUGUAUUUGGUCAU